GAUUUCUAUUACUUUGGUUUUUAAUGUUCAUCAUUUUUAUCGCGUGUUUAUUGAAAACUGGUCGAAAGCCAGAUACUUUACUUCAUCUAACAUUCAUUGAUGAUGAUGAAAAUUUACCAUCAUUCAUGGAUGAUUGGCAACAAAGUUCAGAGGUUGGUCGCCCUCCCGCUGCAAAAACUUACGAGGCUAGACAACGAAUGCCAUUUCAUACUUCAUAUAGGAAGACCAACAAGAAUUGCAGGUUCGAUAAGUUUGUCAGUAUUAAUAAAAUUAAAUACUGCUAAUUACAGUGAAUUGUUAUAAAUGUUUAUUUUUCAGAAUGGAAACAUGUUUUGAUUCUUCACGUUGUGACAAAGAUUUUCGAGUGUUUGUGUAUCCAUUAUCUGAACUGGAGACUAGUGGAUUAAUGACUACAGCUCGUAGUAUUCUGUACCAAAAAAUGUUGGAUAUUAUUGUGGAAUCAAGGUAUUACACGGAUGAAUACACCAUUGCUUGUGUAUUCGUAGUAGCAAUUGAUACUCUUGAUCGAGAUCCUUUAUCUCCAGACUAUGUACGUAAUAUCCCUGUGAAAUUGCAAAGGCUCAAACAUUGGAAUGGUGGUCGUAAUCAUAUAAUUUUUAAUCUUUAUUCUGGUUCUUGGCCCAACUACAAUGAAGAUGACCUCGGAUUUCAUACUGGUGAUGCUAUUUUAGCUAAAGCUAGUAUGUCGGUUAGUAAUAUGAGACCAGGAUUCGAUAUUUCUUUUCCGUUAUUUCACAAGGUGAAUAUUAUAAUUGUACUUUUUUCUAUCUGGUUUUUUAUAUUUUCCAAUUUUUGUUUAAAAGAAACACCCAGAAAGAGGUGGCGAACCUGGUUUUGUUCGUUCCAACACAUAUCCAAUAACAAAAAAGUAUAAAUUGGCAUUCAAAGGUAAACGGUAUGUACUUGGUAUUGGAUCAGAGACUAGAAACUCUAUUUUUCACUUACAUAACGGAAAGGAUACAAUUGUAGUAACGACAUGUAAACAUGGUAAAAACUGGAAAGAUGCUCAGGAUGAGAGAUGUGAUGUUGAUAAUUCUUUAUACGAAAAGUAAAUACAGUAUUUAUUAACUAUGUGAAGUUAUACUUUUAUAUUAAUCUUUUCAUUCUCUAGGUAUGAUUAUGGAAAUCUUCUAAAAAAUUCAACAUUUUGUUUAGUUCCUAGAGGCCGUCGUUUAGGAUCAUAUAGAUUCUUAGAAGCUCUACAAGCCGGUUGUAUACCUGUAUUGUUAUCUAAUAAUUGGGCUCUACCUUUUGAUGAAGUAAUAGAUUGGAAUAAAGCUGUUAUAUGGGCCGAUGAAAGGUUGUUGUUCCAGGUACCAGAAGUGAUUCAUUCUAUACCAGAAACUAAACUUUUUGCUUUAAGACAACAAACCCAAAUUUUGUGGGAACAGUACUUCAAUACAAUUGAAAAAAUAGUUUUCACUACUUUUGAAGUAAGAUUGUUAUAAUAAAUCAACAAUUGUCAAUGCUUUGGUGACAUACAAAUUAUAGUUUAAUUUUUCUAUAGAUAAUUAAAGAGCGUUUACCUAAAUUGCAAUCCCGAGAUGGUAUUGUUUGGAAUACUUCGCCUGGAGCUCUGGUGUCUCAACACUCAUUUACUGAGCAUCUUAAUUUCAACUUGCCAUUUAGUUAUCAUCUCCUUGGCAAACAACCUAGUUCAAAUUUUACAGCAGUAAUAUUUUCCCAACAUAACAACCUUAAUACACCACUAUAUCGUUUAGUUAGAAAUAUAGCUGCAAGCAAAUAUUUGACACAAGUAAAUUAAUCAAGUCAUAAUAUUACUAAUAGCAUAAGUAAAUUAAAUAUAAUCAAUAUAUUUGUAUAGAUUAUUAUUAACUCGUGUGCUGAUAAUGGUGGCAAAAGUGUGUACCAAAAAAUUGCUGGUAUAAAACUAUUAGUAUUGUCUGGAAAUGGCUGUAAGAGGUUUGAGCCGUUAUCAUUUAUUAAAACUGAAGCUGUUUUAUCAUUAGACGAUGAUGUUGUUUUAACUACUGAUGAAAUUGAUUUUGCAUAUCAUGUGUGGCGAUCAUUUCCCGAUAGGAUUGUUGGAUUUCCAGCUAGAUCUCAUUACUGGGACAGCAGCAAGGUUUUGUGUUAAUUAUUAUUGUAUUAUAGUUUUCACU
rnacentral:lncRNA from 1 species